CAUGUGAGGAAGCACCUGGACAUGUGUUCUUCGUGUGAGGAAACACCUGGACAUGUGUUCUUCAUGUGAGGAAACACCUGGACAUGUGUUCUUCAUGUGAGGAAGCACCUGGACAUGUGUUCUUCAUGUGAGGAAACACCUGGACAGAUGUUCUACAUGUGAGGAAACACCUGGACAUGUGUUCUUCAUGUGAGGAAACACCUGGACAGAUGUUCUACAUGUGAGGAAACACCUGGACAUGUGUUCUUCAUGUGAGGAAACACCUGGACAGAUGUUCUACAUGUGAGGAAACACCUGGACAGGUGUUCUUCAUGUAGGAAGGUUAGUUUGUCUGUAAAAUAAUAAAAACAUUGAUUCUGCAGAAGUCGGGUCAGAUCCGUUCGGUUCAUUAAAAACAAUAAAAUUAGAUUCAUUUUGUUUUCUGGCAGAAAUAUCCUGAUAUGAACCUGUAAACAGCUCUGAUGCUUCUGUAGAACCAGGAGACAUCGGGUCAGAACCGGCCCGUUUAGUGAGCUUAGAGCUAACAGGUAGCUUAGAAUGUCUUGUUCUGAGGAACAGAAGAUCUGGACCCUGUGUGACCCUGUGUGACCCUGUGUGACCCUGUGUGACCCUGUGUUCUGCUCCUGUACAAAUAAACGCUUCAUGAAACUCCA